rnacentral:rRNA from 1 species
AGCGAAUAGAUACCCCGGUAGUCCUGGCAGUAAACGGUGCACGUUUGGUGUGGGCGCAAUCGACCGCGUCCGCGCCGGAGCUAAACGCGUUAAACGUGCCGCCUGGGAAGUACGGUCGCAAGAUUAAAACUCAAAGAAAUUGACGGGGACCCGCACAAGCGGUGGAGUAUGUGGCUUAAUUCGAUGCAACGCGAAGAACCUUACCUGGUCUUGACAUGCAUUGUGUCUCCGGUGAAAGCCGGAUAGGGCAGCAAUGCCCGCUUUGCACAGGUGCUGCAUGGCUGUCGUCAGCUCGUGUCGUGAGAUGUUGGGUUUAAGUCCCGCAACGAGCGCAACCCCUGUGAUUUGUUGCCACCGGCUUAUGCCAAGCACUCGAAUCAGACUGCCUCGAUCAACGAGGAGGAAGGUGGGGAUGGCGUCAAGUCCGUAUGGCCCUUACGACCAGGGCUGCACACGUACUACAAUGCUCAGCACAAUGUGAACCGAUGCCGCGAGGU